AGGGAUUUAGCUUAGUGGCAUAAGCACCUGCCUUGCAAGCAUGUGGUCAAGAGUUCAAUCCCUG
rnacentral:tRNA from 1 species